rnacentral:rRNA from 1 species
GAUGAACGCUGGCGGCGUGCCUAAUACAUGCAAGUCGAGCGAACAGACGAGGAGCUUACUCCUCUGACGUUAGCGGCGGACGGGUGAGUAACACGUGGAUAACCUACCUAUAAGACUGGGAUAACUUCGGGAAACCGGAGCUAAUACCGGAUAACAUGUUGAACCGCAUGGUUCAACAGUGAAAGACGGUCUUGCUGUCACUUAUAGAUGGAUCCGCGUCGCAUUAGCUAGUUGGUAAGGUAACGGCUUACCAAGGCAACGAUGCGUAGCCGACCUGAGAGGGUGAUCGGCCACACUGGAACUGAGACACGGUCCAGACUCCUACGGGAGGCAGCAGUAGGGAAUCUUCCGCAAUGGGCGAAAGCCUGACGGAGCAACGCCGCGUGAGUGAAGAAGGUCUUCGGAUCGUAAAACUCUGUUAUUAAGGAAGAACAAAUGUGUAAGUAACUAUGCACGUCUUGACGGUACCUAAUCAGAAAGCCACGGCUAACUACGUG